rnacentral:rRNA from 1 species
AUUGAACGCUGGCGGCAGGCCUAACACAUGCAAGUCGAACGAGUGGCGGACGGGUGAGUAAUGUCUGGACAACUGCCCGAUGGAGGGAGGUAACUACUGGGAACGGUAGCUUAUAACGCAUACCAUCGGCUGUGCCACUAUGGUAUUAGCUAGUCGGUGGGGUAACGGCUCACCUAGGAGAAGAGCCCUAGCUGGUCUGAGAGGAUGACCAGACAAACUGGAACGGAGACACGGUCCAGACGCCUACGUGAGGCAGCAGUGGGGAAUCUUGAACAAUGGGCGAAAGCCUGACGCAGCCACGCAGCGUGAAUGAAGAAGGUCGUCGGGUCGUAAAGUUCUUUCAGCGAGGAGGCGGUACUCGAAGAAGAAGCACCGGCUAACUACGUGCCAGCAGCCGCGGUAAUUC